UUCAUAUAAAUUUAAUAAAAUAACAAGUAAAAACGUUUCAGUCGGUAUGAACCGAUUGAAUUAUACCCUGCACUUUUCAUUGUUGCACAGCAAUUACUCAAACCUAUGAAACCAUUCUAUAGAAACUUCACGAUAUAUCUGAUCUAUAACUGAACACACAACUACCAAGUUUCGUGAAUCUGACUUUAUUAUUUUUCCAAAUAUUUAAAAUUACCUUUUAGGUACCCGAACCUGCCAAGCAAUUCCACUAAAACUUCGCUAAUAUAUCUGAUCUAUAAUUGGACACACAACUGCCAAGUUUCAUGAACCUAACUUUAUUACUUUUCCAAAUAUUUAAAAUAAGCUUUUGGACUUGUAUGGGAGCCACUCGAACCUGUUAAGCAAUUCCACCAAAACUUCAGAAAUAUCUUUGACCUAUAAUUGGACACACAACUGCCAAGUUUCAUGAAUCUGUCUUUAUUAUUUUGCCGAAUAUAAAAAAUUUGUUUUUGGAGUUGUAUGGCAGCCACCCGAACCGGUGCAGCUAUCUCAUUAAAAUUUUUAGAGCAUAUGUAGAAUAUAAUUGGACACAUGUGUACAAAAUUUUAUGUACCUUUAUUAGUUUUUGAAAUAAUUAAAAUAAACUCUUUGAGUUGUAUGGCAGCUACCCGAACCCGUUGUCCGAAUUGGUCCAAUAACAAUAGGGUUCGUCCUUGGCACAAAAGAAACAACUUGUGAAAGCUUGGUGUCGAUUGCAUUAUUCGUUUUUGAGUUAUCGUGCGAUCUGACGGACGGACGGACGGACGAACGGACGGACAUGUCUAAAUCAACGCAGAAUUUUACGCUGAGCAAGAAUAUAUAUAUAUGUCCAUACCGCAGAUGACUCCUUCAAGUAGUUACAAACUCCAUACCAAAGUUAAUAUACCCUUCACGAAGUGCAGGGUAUAAAAAGAAGUAUAUAAAUUUAAUUAAUAUAGUACACAUAUGAAAAAUAUACAUAGAUAUAUACAUAUGUGAUUAUAUCAAAGUAUGCAUUUCGGAGACAUAUCAUACAAAAUUAGCAAACUCGUUAAUAUCAAAUGUAUAUUUUCUCAAAGUUGAAAGUAUACACGAAAAUCAACUUAAUACUUAGAAAAAAAAUUGCACCAUUUAUUGUAGCAUUUAAUGAAAUCAAAAAAAUGAACGGAACCUGCAAGGCUUUUUUUAAAGUUUUAAUACCACAAAACUUUAAGAAUAAGAAUGAAAUUUAGCUUUUUCUUAUUAAAUAUUUGGAAAAUGUUGAUCUUGUGAGAGAUUUAAGAUGUUAAAAAGGGCCCUCUGGAGAUCCCAUAAGAAUACGUGUAUAUUUGACAGCUGUGAACCGUCACUCUCCUUUGGAGUCCAGACCUGUAUUUCUGUCAGUCGUGAAUGUCUAUUAUUUUUUUAAAUGUCUGCUAUGAAAUUUGAAAAAUUUAAAUAUUGACACUUGACAUCUUUAGUGAAAUAUCGAUUUUGACACUCCAAAAAAUAAUCUUGCCAUUGCAGAUUCAUUAUCUCUAUGAGAGAGAUUUAUAAAUACUCAAAAAUCUACGUGCGUGACUUUGUUUAAAAUUCGUAGAAUUCUACGAGUGAGAUUCACAAUAAGGUUGAUAGUUGUUCUGAAUUCUCAAAAGUAUUUUUCCUUCAUAUUUUUGCGCAAUUUAAUGAUCUUCUUCUACCAAUUUAAUAAUCUACCAAAAACCUAUUUCAGGGGGUUGUAUUCGGAUAUUAAUUGGGCUAUAUUCAGAUAUUCAUUUUUUUUUACUCUUAACUCAAAAAAACAAAAAAUAUUUUAACUACGUGUGUCAUAGUUUCUUUGUUCAAUUUACCCAUUUGAGAUUGGUGGGCUCCAUUGCCGCCUUGCGUAGCAGCAGCUUAUAAGUGCUUAGAGCCAUGUCCAGGUUCUCCCUUUCAGGUAGAAUCCCGAGAUUCAUCUCGAACUGCUUCGACAUCUCAUUGAGAGACGACCUGAACUCUAAGAUCCUUCUGGAGUUUCCUUCUGGAAUUAGAGACUACCUCUGCCUGAAAAACAACGGCAGAAUCCGUUCCGGUAUCUGAUCCGGAAGACGGAGGGAGAACUUAACAUCAAAUUGCUCAGAAUAGACUCCCCCACCUACCCUGUUCUCAACUUUGGAUCCGUCCGUGGAAAAAUGAACGGACUCGCCCUUGAAACUGCCUUUGCUCAGUCAGGUCUGCCUCGGCGGAAUCAAAAUACCAGAGUUCUUGGUAAAUGAGAGCACAGGACGAACAGAGUUUUCCGUUCCCACCAGGUGUCCCCAGUUCGCAAGAACGGAAGCAUGUCUUGCCGUGCCACAUGUCCACUGAUAUGCGGACGUGAGUCGUACCGCGGAGUCUGCAGCCAUCGGUCCAGCAUGUCUAAUGGCGGCAAAUGGACGAGAAUCUCAAGAGGCUGAGUAGGGGUGAAGCAUAACAUUCCACCGAUACACUCCAUUGCCAUUCUUUGAAUUUUGCUUAUCAGUUUAAAGUUCGGAGCUGUACGGAGAGCUGGCCACCAUAUCAGAACACCAUAGGUCAGGAUCGGUCUCACCACCGCAGUGUAUAGCCAAUAGACCAUGUUAGGCCACCUCUUCCCGAUGGCUCAAUAGUUGCUUUCCUUACUCUCUCCGUGAAGUUGAACUUCCAGUUCAGUUUUGACCCAGGGUUCUGGCCUCCCUGUUAAAAGUUAAGCGGAUUCCAUUGACUCGCGGUGGGGUUAUGUUCUGUACCUUGUAUUUAUUACUCAGAAAUAACUAGUUCCGUCUUUUGUGGGUUUAUAGUCAGUCCACAGGCAAGAGCCAAGUCAGAGACGAGGUUUAGAGCCUUAUACAUGAGCCCAUUCAGGAUACCAAGGUGCUUCCCAGAUACAGCUACCCUCAAGUCAUCAAGUCAAGCUCUCCUCCUCCAGGCAUAAUAGUAAUCGAUUGAUUACUAAACUCCAAAGAAGAGGAACCAGAUGCUUCUGCCUGUCAGAGCCCUUAGGGAGCCAUGAAUUGAAACCUUCGACAGCGCGUAAAUGAUAGCCCGCGGCCGGACAUUGUUCAAGGUGCCUUCAAUAUAUAAGAAGGCAGCCAUUGUGUACUUUUUACAUUUCAAAGACUUUUCGAUACAUUUUAUCAAAGAGUGGAGGGCCGUUUCCGUUGACCUCCCUUUACGAUACGUAUGUUGUGUCGGAGAUGUCAACGAAUUAAGGUUGCUCUUAAUGUAUGCAUCUUUCAACUUUUCAAUAUUUUUAAUAGAAAUGAUGUUAGACUGAUAGCUCUGAGAUCCUUUGGGCAGCUGUGAGAGCUUCUCCCACUCUUAGGAAUGAAGACCACUCUGGCAACAUUCCACGUUUUUGAAAUGUAGGUUAAGUCUAUACAGCACUCAUAGAUGAUCUUCAGCCUCGGAAGGAUGCCCCCGCACGUAUUGUAUUUCUCCCGGCCUAAUGUCGUUAGGGCUCGCCGACUUGAAGGGCUCAAACUGCGAAUGGCCCACAAUAUUUCUUUUUCAGAGGCCACUGCCCCCACACAGGACCCGUUGCGACAAUCAAUCGAUCAAUAAUUCAAGAUAAUUCAAUUUUCAUAUCAUGUGUUCUUUAUUAAAUUUUAUUUUGUGGAAAAAAUAAAUAUUCUAAAUAUUUCCGAACUAAGAAAUAAAAAACGUAUUAUUGUCAAAUUUUUAAAAUUUUACAUCAAAAGUUUCAUUUCGUCGUUCACUAGUUGCAGGGAAAAUAUUUUUUUUUUAGCUUUAAUACAUCAAUGAUAAAUCCCUAAUAUAUUUUGAAAAUAAUUCACACUGUUUUAUUUUACUUAUUGCACUCAACGGCAUCAGUGCGUCUUCAUAAAUUGCUUUCAUGGGUUAGGACAACCCAAAAUUUAAGGCGCUCCAAUUAGUCCUUUUGUAACCUCCGCAACUUCACGUCAUAACUUCGUCAUGACAUUGCUCCACCUUAUAUAUGGCGAAAACUUCCGCUUGGGGCACGCUCAAUUUGUCGGACAGACUACAUAUAUGACGUAGACAUGGUUUGUGUAUUUGAUAUAAAUUUUACCCUCAUCUUUGAAAACAUUGGCGCGUAAAGAGAUGUCGAAACUCUCUAAUGAUGAAUCCUCUCUACGCCAUCUCCUAGAUGAAAACUCUACCUCAAAGUUCUUGUCGAGCUCCAGCAUAGGAAUGUAUGGAGGUACCGACCGCAGGAUAUUACACUUAUCGAAUAUUACUUUUAUCGAAUAAUUGGCCCGUCAUUAUUUUUUAGAAGGGGAAGGGAAGAUUAUAUGUAAUAAGGAUUAAUAAAAAUGAAGAGUUAAAAAGACUGAUCACCACCAGAUAUACAGAUAUACAAUGGAAAAUUAAGAUAUAAUACAAAAAAAAUAAACUAAAAACGAGAAAGCAAAAAGCCAAACUAUUAAAAAUAAGUGCACUGCUUCCUUUCUGUCAUAAUCGGAACCGUAAUAGCGGACAUUGUACAAUCCAACAGCUCUGAAAGAAAAUUGUUUUAAAAGCGAAGGAGCCACUAUGACCCCCGAUACAAGUUGAGGCACAAAUACUAUGUCUGAAAUCAUCCUGUGUAGGUACACAAUUCCCGGAAGUUCAACAGCAAUCUUGACUGACGACAAACUAUCAAUCAGACUGAACUAGACCGCUCAGAGCAAACUUUAGAAAAAUCUGCACAGAUUCAAUACACGAAACAUCCACCACAAGAUAGUGCACACCAACCUUAAACAAAUAGAGAUACUGAAUUGAAAAAUCUUUUUGUUAGACGCCGUCUCCUGCACCGAAAUCAAUUUUUAUAGAAACCGAAAAUUAAGAAGUAUUUUCCUUCUUUUUGUUACAAAAUCAACGUAAGAAUAAAAACAAAAGGUUAUACAAAAAUAUUGAAAUUUGAAUUUUUUCAACAUGGAAAAUUUAAAUUUUUUUAAAUUAAUUUGAUUUAUUUUAAGAAUGACAUUAACAAUUCUGACUAAAUUAUAUGGAUAGUUUCAAUAAGCAUAAUUUAUAAUGAGGAAUUAUUUUGAUUUUUAAAUAAAAUCAAAAAAGUGUUAAAAAAAAAUAAGAUUAUUUAUGUCUGUUACUGCAUGUGAAACGUUACAUAAUGUACGAGUAUUAAUGAAUUGAGAGUCAAAUUUUGACAAACACUUAUUUUUGGAUUCACUUAUUUUGGAUACAAACACUUAUUUUGGAUAUUUGGAUAAUAGUAUUUUUGGAUAGUAUUCCAAUAGUGGAUGGCAUGGCAGCGAUCGAGAUUCUCUUGUUCUACUUAAUAAGGUCAUAUUUGUUGGGUCGGUGUAGGGACGUCCUUUUGCGAUAUGUGCAGGAUGACGGAGUGGUUGAAUCCUGGUCACAGUGAGAUGCAGGAGAUGAGAUGGCAAAGUGUCUUGCAAGAGAUGGGGCGCGCGAGGGUGCUGGCUUAGUGAAUAGAUCAGUGCGUCUGCCGCUGAAGAAAUUCUUUAAUAUCAUAACGAAACUAAGAGGAGAGGCCUGAGCGAUAUUCAAAUAAUAAAAAUGGCAAAUUUAUAUAUGUUGCUUAUAAGAUAAUAUCAAACUCGAGUAUAUUUUAAAAUAUUUGUAAAAUAUUUUUUCACUCUAAUCUAAAUAUCUGCAACAAAAUCAAAACUAAACAGAACUUU